AUUGAACGCUGGCGGCAGGCUUAACACAUGCAAGUCGAGCGGAGAUGAGGUGCUUGCACCUUAUCUUAGCGGCGGACGGGUGAGUAAUGCUUAGGAAUCUGCCUAUUAGUGGGGGACAACAUUCCGAAAGGAAUGCUAAUACCGCAUACGUCCUACGGGAGAAAGCAGGGGAUCUUCGGACCUUGCGCUAAUAGAUGAGCCUAAGUCGGAUUAGCUAGUUGGUGGGGUAAAGGCCUACCAAGGCGACGAUCUGUAGCGGGUCUGAGAGGAUGAUCCGCCAGACUGGGACUGAGACACGGCCCAGACUCCUACGGGAGGCAGCAGUGGGGAAUAUUGGACAAUGGGGGGAACCCUGAUCCAGCCAUGCCGCGUGUGUGAAGAAGGCCUUAUGGUUGUAAAGCACUUUAAGCGAGGAGGAGGCUACUGAGACUAAUACUCUCGGAUAGUGGACGUUACUCGCAGAAUAAGCACCGGCUAACUCUGUGCCAACAGCCGCGGUAAUACACAGGGUGCGAGCGUUAAUCGGAUUUACUGGGCGUUAAGCGUGUGUGGGCGGCUUUUUAAGUUGGAUGUGAAAUCCCCGAGCUUAACUCGGGAAUUGCAUUCGAUACUGGGGAGCUAGAGUAUGGGAGAGGAUGGUAGAAUUCCAGGUGUAGCGGUGAAAUGCGUAGAGAUCUGGAGGAAUACCGAUGGCGAAGGCAGCCAUCUGGCCUAAUACUGACGCUGAGGUACGAAAGCAUGGGGAGCAAACAGGAUUAGAUACCCUGGUAGUCCAUGCCGUAAACGAUGUCAACCAGCCGUGGGGGCCUUUGAGGCUUUAGUGGCGCAGCUAACGCGAUAAGUAGACCGCCUGGGGAGUACGGUCGCAAGACUAAAACUCAAAUGAAUUGACGGGGGCCCGCACAAGCGGUGGAGCAUGUGGUUUAAUUCGAUGCAACGCGAAGAACCUUACCUGGCCUUGACAUACUAGAAACUUUCCAGAGAUGGAUUGGUGCCUUCGGGAAUCUAGAUACAGGUGCUGCAUGGCUGUC
rnacentral:rRNA from 1 species